rnacentral:rRNA from 1 species
UACGUAGGGUGCAAGGCGUUAAUCGGAAUUACUGGGCGUAAAGCGGUGCGCAGGCGGUAAUGGUAAGACAGAUGUGAAAUCCCCGGGCUCAACCUGGGAACUGCAUUUGUGACUGCAUUGCUGGAGUGCGGCAGAGGGGGAUGGAAUUCCGCGUGUAGCAGUGAAAUGCGUAGAUAUGCGGAGGAACACCGAUGGCGAAGGCAAUCCCCUGGGCCUGCACUGACGCUCAUGCACGAAAGCGUGGGGAGCAAACAGG